UUUUAUGGAGAGUUUGAUCCUGGCUCAGAGUGAACGCUGGCGGCGUGCCUAAUACAUGCAAGUCGAACGAUGAAGCUUCUAGCUUGCUAGAAG
rnacentral:rRNA from 1 species